GACGCGCUGAUGAGACCCAAACAGAUCGAAAUCGCGAUCCGCGUC
rnacentral:hammerhead_ribozyme from 2 species